GUCCCGCCUGCCCUGUGACCACUAGUUUAACGGCCGCGGUAUUUUGACCGUGCAAAGGUAGCGCAAUCACUUGUCUUUUAAAUGAAGACCCGUAUGAACGGCAUAACGAGGGCUUAACUGUCUCCUCUCUCCGGUCAAUGAAAUUGAUCUCCCCGUGCAGAAGCGGUAUAAUUACGUAAGACGAGAAGACCCUGUGGAGCUUUAGGCACCAGAGCAGCCCGUACUGGUAAUUUUCAAAAACAAAACUAACCCAACGACCCCCUGCCCUCCGUCUUUGGUUGGGGUGACCACGGGGAAAUAAAAAACCCCCGAGCGGACUAGGAUAACUUAUCCCACAAAAAAGAGCCCCAGCUCUAUCUAACAGAAUUUCUGACCUUUCAGAUCCGGCAAAGCCGAUUAACGAACCGAGUUACCCCAGGGAUAACAGCGCAAUCCCCUUUUAGAGUCCCUAUCGACAAGGGGGUUUACGACCUCGAUGUUGGAUCAGGACAUCCUAGUGGUGCAACCGCUAUUAAGGG
rnacentral:rRNA from 1 species